rnacentral:rRNA from 1 species
UACGUAGGGGGCAAGCGUUGUCCGGAUUUAUUGGGCGUAAAGAGCGUGUAGGCGGCCAUUCAGGUCAGCUGUGAAAACUCGAGGCUCAACCUCGAGACGUCGGUUGAAACCGUUUGGCUAGAGUCCGGAAGAGGAGAGUGGAAUUCCCGGUGUAGCGGUGAAAUGCGCAGAUAUCGGGAAGAACACCCGUGGCGAAGGCGGCUCUCUGGGACGGUACUGACGCUGAGGCACGAAAGCUAGGGUAGCGAACGGGG